rnacentral:rRNA from 1 species
CGGCAUGCCUAACACAUGCAAGUCGAACGGAGAAAAAGAAGCUUGCUCUUUUUCUUAGUGGCGGACGGGUGAGUAACGCGUGAGUAACCUGCCUUUCAGAGGGGGAUAACGUUCUGAAAAGAACGCUAAUACCGCAUGAGACUACAGAGCUGCAUGGCUCAGUGGUACAAAGGAGCAAAUCCGCUAGAAAGAUGGACUCGCGUCCGAUUAGAUAGUUGGCGGGGUAACGGCCCACCAAGUCGACGAUCGGUAGCCGGACUGAGAGGUUGAACGGCCACAUUGGGACUGAGACACGGCCCAGACUCCUACGGGAGGCAGCAGUGAGGGAUAUUCGGCAAUGGGGGAAACCCUGACCGAGCAAUGCCGCGUGAGGGAUGACGGUUUUCGGAUUGUAAACCUCUGUCCUCUGUGAAGAUAAUGACGGUAGCAGAGGAGGAAGCUCCGGCUAACUACGUG